GUGACUUACCAGCUGAAAGUCAGAGGGAGACACUGAAGUGAGCAGUCAGAGACGCUGAUGCUUCACAUCCAAACCUGGCACACACUUUCCAGUAUAUCUCUCAGUCAACAAGGUAGCAGUGGCUUUACAGUUAUCAGUGAGAUGCACUCCAUAUCCUACUAUAUGGCUACACAUGGCCUAAGAAUCCUCAACAUGGUACUGCAAACAGAAUCAACUGAGGUGAAACAAGGCAGAGAACCUGCUUAGUGUUCUUGGCCUAUUGAGAGAGACAUUCAAGGCUUACUGGGAAAAAUAGGUCUCAUUAUAUACUCCUGGAUGGCUUGAACUUCCCAUGUAGACCAGGCUAUCUUCAAAUUCAGAGUUCUGGGAUCAAAGACGCCAUUCCCAGCUGGAGUCUAGAUCUUGAACUCAAGAUUUUAUCUCCUCUGCCUGAAUGCUGAGAUUACAGGUAUGUACCAUGCCUGACUGUCACUUGGGUACUACCUGUUAGGUCCUCUGCUUAUUGUUUUUAUUAAGUAAUUAAUUUUUUGACAGGGUCUCACUGUGUAGCUCUGGCUGGCCUGGAAUUUACUACCUGCCUCUGUCUCCCAAGUGCUGGGAUUAAUGGUAUGCACCAUGCCUGGCCCUUCUAAUCCAAUGUUUUAAAUUUUUUUUUAAAUGUAUCUUUUCUCCUUUCUUUUGCUGUAGACCGAGCCCUGUGCCUCAAGCAUAUUUAGCACAUGCUCUAUCACUGAGCUUCACCACUUGUCCCGUCUUUUCCUUAAUAUUUCCUCAAAGAGCAGUUUAUAUAGGACAGUUAAUAUUACUACAAUGCAACAAAUAUUUUUUGUUAAUUGCCUUUUAAUAGGCAACAAAGGUUUUUCGUUUUUCGAGACAGGGUUUCUCUGUGUAGCUUUGCGCCUUUCCCGGGACUCGCUUGGUAGCCCAGGCUGGCCUCGAACUCACAGAGAUCCACCUGGCUCUGCCUCCCGAGUGCUGGGAUUAAAGGCGUGCGCCACCACCGCCCGGCCGGCAACAAAGGUUUUUGUUUUAAACAUUUCAUGCUGGAGCUUGGAAUGCAGCUUAGUGGUAAAGCACUUGUGUAUGAGUCUCUGGGGUUAACCCUAGUAGUACAAAAAGAAGAAGAAAAAAAAAAACAAACAAAAUAAAAACAAAACCCAGUGCUGUUUGCUGUCAGUCUUUAUUUUUAAUUUUGAUCAAUAACAAAUGUACCAAAUAAACAGUGACCUGUGCUGAGUCUAUGUAACUGAUAUGGCUUAGUUUCCUAAUCUAUGAAAUGGGUAUUGAAUCUAACGGUUACACUAAUUUGGCACACGGUGAUGCAUGUUUACCUCUCAGUCAUUACCACAGUAGCUGGCUGUAUUUACAAUCAGU